ACAGACAAGCUACACGCUCUCACCCCGAGUACCCCCCCACCAUCGCCGCGACAACAAAGGAUUAAAUUUAAGCGUUUACGUGUUUUUAAAAUCGUUAAAAGUUAGCCUUACGCCCAAAACUAGUUAAUGAUGCCAAUUGGUUACGGAAAAACUACUAAUAAUUAAUAAACUUACUGACGGACGAGUUUAAAAUCAAGACAUUAAACAGGUAAGACAAAAGUGUACAUUUAAUUUCUUCAUACCUAUGUUAUUUCAGAAAACCACGUUUUAUCGGAUGCAUUUGUUGAAAAAAAGGACACAUUGAAGGGUGAUUUCGAUUUAUGGGAUUGGGUUUGCGAUUUCAACUCAAACUACACUUACUAUUCCAAGGUUUGACUAGGAAAAAGGCAAUGGAGAAGGCAUGAAAUAAAAUGGAUGUAAAUAUUUUAUUUGAGACAAAAUAUUUGAAUAAAAGGGAAAGGCUAUUUUGUCAUCAACAAACAAACAAGACGAUAAAUUAAAUGAUUUGAUCCUUUCUAAGUUUGAUGCAUAAUCGCAAAUUUAAUAUUCAGUUGACAUGGUUUUAGAAAAAGAGGAUGCAGUCCAUUUUCCGUCAGAAUGUCUUAACUCUUUAACGCCUUCUAGAGUUUCAUCUUAAAAAUUGAUUUUGAAAAUAGGAGCACUUAUUAAUUUUAUAAGAAAUUUGAGUCCACCCAGAUUAUGUAAUGACACAUUUAAAUCAGCAUUGUUUUUGAUAUCUUAAUCUUAAGUACAAUGAUAAUUUUUUCAAAAAUAUAUUGGUUUUUUUAGUUCUAUUUCAUAGAUUUGUUUUGUUAAACAUAAGUGUUAUAUUAUGAACUAAGUUUUUGAAAAUGUUUUAAAUUUUAUUUACAUUAAUCAAAUUAUGACAAUACAAAAUAUUAUGUCAUUAUUAAACAUUGAAUUAAUAUAAUUUUAAAAAUAAUUACUAUAAUCAAUAACAUGAUAUCAAAUCCAAAUAACAGUUAUUUCUGGAUAUAAUUAUUUAAAAAAUAGUACACUGCACUAAGUUAAUUUUAAUGCAAUUUAUUAAUUUAAGAUAUUAUAACAUACACUGUUGCAUUUGUAAUA